AUAAAAAAUGUGUGAUUGAAAAGAAGAGAGAGAAAAAUACAUUUUGAUAAAAAUGAGUGCCAAACAGGCCUAUGUCUUUUUCUUUUAGCCCGACAUGCUCUAGAUCAUUCCCUUGGUGGCCGGCUGUGACAAACAAAAUGGUUAAAAGGAGAUGAAACCCUAUAGUGUGAAGGAAACAUAAAGCUCACGCCUCAUCCAUCUGUCUUCAACGCCACCAUCGGCUUCAAUUCCAUUAGAUCAGGUAUGAAAUGCUCAGCUAUUGAAGCAGUAUAUGGGUAGAUUUUUCCCAUCUGGGCAUGAAUUAAAAUUAUUUCUCAUCUUCUUUAUGUGUAUUAGAAAGGUGUAACUUUUUGAGAUUUAUACAUAUAAGCUUUAAUUUUUCAAGAUAAGUUUGUUCGAUCCGCGUAUUAGAGAUCUGUAUGAAUUUAUUGGGAUUUCUUUUCCUUGCUCAUCUGUUCCUAACCUUAUCAUCGAGUCAGCUGUUAUCUCUUUUUUGGCUAUCAUUGCAUAGAGCUUGAAGCAAUGAUUAAUUUGGAGAAACUGCUAAAUUUUUAUGCUUAGAUUUUAUUUUUAUUUUGAAUAUCUUUUUAGAUUUUAUGAUUGUGGGAAAACAGAACUGGAUCGAAAUGGUUUGUUUUGGUUCCGCCGCCCUUAUAAUUUAGGAAAAUAAAUAAAUAAAUUCUGGGUAAAAUACCUAUGUUUUGUCCAGUGAUAAAGGAAAUUGGACUGAACUGUAUUUUGUCCACCCAUAAUAGAGUAUCACUGCUAAUUUUACUUUUAAGUAGUUUAUUAAUUAUCAGUUGGUGUUUUAAUCUUAGUUAAACGAAAACCCAAUUUGUUAUUUGGACAGGAUGGACAUCUGAUCACAAUGUAAUGUGUUGAAUUCACUAAUCUCAAAAGGCUACAUCUCAAACAACAUGGUUUUCCUACCAUAGAGAAAUCAGAUCAAGAUCUAGUUUCAGUCCAUUUUGCCUGGUGGAAGAAAAUGGCCCAAUUCUUCAUCAUUUUCAAUAAGCUUGUCAAUUUGUUAAUUGUGGAGGGUAAAUUUUGUUUCAGUACGAAUGAUCGGGUGCUUUAUGAUGACAUUGCUCAAAGCGAGGUAAGUGGAAGAAUAUGUGAUCUUGGUAUGGGUGGUAUAGGAAAAAAUUACUCCUUUUUCGUGCUCUAUUUCUAAGGUAUGCCUCUUAUAAGUUAAAAUGUUUUCAUGAGUGUACCCCUUUUCUCUUUUUUCCCCAUAUUUUUUAGAUUCUUUAGCAUGGUAACAGUCAUCAGAACCAAUUUAUGCUUCUGAAUCAUAGAAUUCAUCAACCAUUUCAGUUUCUCCUUCAUCAGGUUCUAAGGAAAUAGUGGAAGAUGGUCGGGUCCAAAAUGGCCAUUGACCAUUUAUUUUUAAAAAAGGAAAAAAUAUUAAAACCAUAAAAAAUAUUGAAAAGCCAUUUAUACCUUCACAUCAUUUUGAAAAGAUAGAAGAUUGGAAAACAUUGUUCACAAAAUGUCGACCAACACCGUCGAGAAACCCCUGAUCCAGAUCGGAGAUUGUCAUUUGCUUGAAGUAAUCGAGUUUUGAAACUUUUGGUACCAUUGAUUGAGUAAAUAAAGCAUGUUGCAUGUUCAUUUGUUGAAUAAUCUUUGUAGAAAUUGUUGUAGAUAAUAAAUUGUGCAUGAAAUUGAGGAUUUUGGUACACUUGAGGGGCGAAGAUAGUUGGGAAUGACGAUCUUUGCUAUAUGUAGCUCACACAUUUUUAUCUAGUCAAAGUCAAUAGUGGAAUUUUCAGAAUUAAGUCAAAUGAGGACUUGUAUGAAAUAAAUCGUUUUUAUUGGGACUUGAUUGACCAAAUCAUUUUAUUUGGGUUUAUCUUAUAAAUUAUAAAUAUUUUGAAGGUUAAGUUGGACAAAAUAAAAAAAAAAAUUUGGGAUUUAUUUAUAUAUUUUUGGAAGUUGAGGAUUUACUUGUAUGUUGUAAUUAGAUUUAAGGGACUUUCUUUGCAAAUUGAACAUGUGGGACUUUAAAAUUCAACUUUUGACCAUUCUUUUUCUCCCAAAAUCCACCCCUACACACACAGUAACGCGAGAGAAGCAGAGACUGUGAGAGAAGAAAGAAAAAAGAAAAGAAGAAAGGAAAAAGAAGAAGAAAAAUGAUGGUAAAAAAAAGGGAAGAAGAAAAGGGGUAAGGUUAAUCUCUUCAAGUUGGGAUGUAAUUUAUCCAUUGUUCUAAGUGAUAAAGGUGUGAUUUAUGUUAAAUUUUUAGGGUUUUAACUUGUAGUAAUAAAAUGUCAAAUUUAGGUAAUAUAUGUACGAUUUGGAGCUCAAGCUUGGGGAUUAAUUAAGUUUCAGUUUCAGCAAGGUAGGUAGUAAAAUUUUUGGGGAAACCCUAGAAUUCGAUUUCGGAUUUUUGAUUAAUUAAUUGUGGAAAUGAGUAUAGAAAUGGAAUAUUUCAUUUGGGAGUUGAUUUUAUGAAACAAAAUGUAUAUUAAAUGGGUGAAAUUAUGUUUACUAGUUUCACUAGAUUGGAGAGUAAAAUUAGUUUUAAACUUGGGAAGAAGGUUUUGUUAAUGAAUUAGUUAUUAGAAAAGGGAUUAGAAAAUGAGAUUAGCUCCAAUUGAUCAAAAGAAUAUUUGGGAAAUUCAUUCGAGCAUCGACCAAUUUUAGUUAAGUAUUAUAGAAGUAGAUCUUAAUGUUUCUUAAUUUAAUAGUGGUUGAUUAGUCAUCUUGUUAUGUAUUCCAAGUGAUGACGAGGAGAUUGGAAGAGCCUAUCGACCAUAUUAGAUUCAGCUUGUAUUAUGUGAGUGGAUAAGCUUAUUUUUCAGAAAUUAGUAUUUAUUUAAUUUAUACUAACUCAAAAAAUUUAAUAAUUCAUACAGUCGAUUUGACGACACGAUUUUCAGAAUAAAGUUGUUUUUAAAAGUUAAAUUCAAUUUAGUAGAUCAUUUUAUUAUCAUGUUAUAUGAGUAUUAAAUAUUUCAGCAUAUUUAAAGUUAUUUUCUAAAAAUCACCAGAAAGCACCCAGGUGAUUUUACCUUCGUCUGUACUGGUGUGAAUGUGUUUCUACAGUGUAUGACGUCAUAUGGUUAUUUUACCCAAUCUGCGCUGGUGUGAAUGUGUUUCCACAGCGUAUGAUCAAUAUAGUGAUUUUACCCGCUCUGCACUAUUGUGAAUGUGUUUUCAUAGUGUGUGACCAUUUUAUAGCUCUGCGCGCGUACGACCAGAAUUACAGAAUUUCAGAAUUACAGGAUUACAGAAUUACAAAAUUUCAGAAUUGAAUAACCUUGCUAUGUUUAUUGAGAUUAAUCGAUACACGAAUAUGUUUAUUUUGGGUACAUUUACAAAAUUUCAGAAUUGAAUAACCUUGCUAUGUUUAUCGAAAUUAAUCGAUACAAGAAUAUGGUUAUUUCGGAUACAUUUUUGGUGUGAUGUUUCGGUAUUACAUAGCUUAUCAGAUUUUAGAAAUGCAGUAUACAGAGUAAAGAUGUUUAUGAUUAUAGUAUAUUUUAUUUUUGAUAGUAUUAUCAGAUGUUAAGCUAUAUAAUUCAAUUUAUUCAGUUUAAAGAAUAAAUAUUUUAGUUUAUAUGUCUGUAAAAAGAAAUUUUAUGUUAUAUGUCGGUUUUCAGAAAGAUUUUAUGAUUGGAAAAGUAUACUUUUAUAAAGUUCAACUUUUACAAAUAUCCACUCACUGAGUCGCAAGCUCAUAUUUUUGUCACCUCAUUUCUUAUCAGAUAGAAGCUGCGUUGAGCCAUAUUGGAGCCUGUCGAUCGGCGAGUUGAACUACAUCGUGUCAUUGUUUGUAUGUCUCAUCUCGUUAAUUCAUACAACACAUUUUCUGGGAUUGAUGUAUUUUGUUCAGAAAAUGUAUUAAGUCACAGGCUCGUUGCAUAUUUUGUGUAUGUUUUGAAAUGAAGUUGUUUGGUGGUAAAGAAGGGUAAAUUUCUUUUUCAGUAAAACUACUUUGAAGAAUUGGUAUUUUGAGGGGCUGGUGUAUCAUGUUUUAAACUAUAUGUACAUGUUUAGAAUAUUUGAUUUUAUUUUCAGGUAGUUUUAGUCUAUUUUUCAGAUGGUAUUUUGUCGAAAUUUUUAUAAAAUUAUAACAGUCAAAGCAUGUCAAGUUUGCUGUGGUGGUAGGUCUGACACUUCGCUGGUAUCUACUAUCGGUGCAUGACACGUGUCGGAUCCAUUAGGGUGAUCCGGACAGGUCGUGUCAAAUUGGAUCCAAAAGGCUGAAGUCCAAACUAUGCUUAGAUUUUUGGGUCGUCUGGAAUCUAAAUGGCCCGAAUCGGAUCCGUUAGACUAGGCUGCCUCAAUUUGAGGAAAUCGUUGCCAAUGGCUGCCCCACCCGGCUACUCUUUCAUAAGGGUCUUUGAUCAAAUUUUUUGUAAUAUAUAUAUAUAUAUAAACAAAAUUUAAAUGGUCGAAAAUACCCUCAUUUGGAAAGAAGAGGAGGAAAAUAGAGAAAAAAAAAGUAGUCUUGAUCGAUGUCGCCUAUGGACGACCCGGACUUGACCCACUUAGAUAAAGAUCGGACACACCUCGAUCAGUCGGAGAUCGCUAUUUUCUAGAAGGUUAGACAUGUUCUCCAUAAAUAAUUACUUUGAAUAUGUGAAAAUUUGAAUGUUUAGGAUUUGAAUAUGAGUUAAAUUCAAUUUUUUAUGGUUAAAAUGAAAGAAAAGAUCGAAUUUGAGGUUGAAAUGUUGAAAAAAUGAAAAAAUGAGAUGAAGCUUGCCGAAUCCAGUCCAUAAUGGACCGGGACGAUCCGUUACGGACAAGAUGGGUCUGUAACGGACCAAUGGUCCGGGUCCGGACCCGACAAUGGGCUCG
rnacentral:lncRNA from 1 species